UCACGCAUCGCGUCUCCCCCAAAUCCACCUCGAGUGGAGGGGAAGGAGGAUGGUCUCCCGUGACUCACCGUUGCGGCUGGCCUAAAAUUGGAGCCCUCGGCAUUGGGAUGCCGCGGCGAUAGGUGGUGGACGAGGCCUCGGCCAAGCAAGCAACCCGCCGUGCGUCGCGAUGCCAAUGUGAGUUCGAAGGACCCUUUAACGUUGCCUAACGGCACCCUAACCGUUGCGAC
rnacentral:rRNA from 1 species